GACGAACGCUGGCGGCGUGCUUAACACAUGCAAGUCGAACGGAAAGGCCCUGCUUUUGUGGGGUGCUCGAGUGGCGAACGGGUGAGUAACACGUGAGUAACCUGCCCUUGACUUUGGGAUAACUUCAGGAAACUGGGGCUAAUACCGGAUAGGAGCUCCUGCUGCAUGGUGGGGGUUGGAAAGUUUCGGCGGUUGGGGAUGGACUCGCGGCUUAUCAGCUUGUUGGUGGGGUAGUGGCUUACCAAGGCUUUGACGGGUAGCCGGCCUGAGAGGGUGACCGGCCACAUUGGGACUGAGAUACGGCCCAGACCCCUACGGGAGGCAGCAGUGGGGAAUAUUGCACAAUGGGCGGAAGCCUGAUGCAGCAACGCCGCGUGCGGGAUGACGGCCUUCUGGUUGUAAACCGCUUUCGCCUGUGACGAAGCGUGAGUGACGGUAAUGGGUAAAGAAGCACCGGCUAACUACGUG
rnacentral:rRNA from 1 species